rnacentral:sRNA from 1 species
AUGUACCACUCGUACACUCCGGUUCCUCCGCGCCGUCCGCAUCCACCUGACGACUGCUCGCUACGUUUUGUUAGUC